rnacentral:rRNA from 1 species
AGGGCACCACCAGGAGUGGAGCCUGCGGCUUAAUUUGACUCAACACGGGGAAACUCACCCGGUCCGGACACUGUAAGGAUUGACAGAUCGAGAGCUCUUUCUUGAUUCGGUGGAUGGUGGUGCAUGGUCGUUCUUAGUUGGUGGAGUGAUUUGUCUGGUUAAUUCCGAUAACGAACGAGACUCUAGCCUGCUAACUAGUUGCGCCCUGUUCAUACGGGGCUGUAGACUUCUUAGAGGGACAGGUGGCGUUUAGCCACACGAAAUUGAGCAAUAACAGGUCUGUGAUGCCCUUAGAUGUCCGGGGCCGCACGCGCGCUACACUGAAGGAGUCAGCGUGUGCUAUCCGGGCUCGGAAGAGUUCGGUAACCCGUUGAAACUCCUUCGUGCUUGGGAUUGUGGCUUGUAAUUAUUGCGCAUGAACGAGGAAUUCCCAGUAAGUGCAAGUCAUCAGCUUGUGCUGACUACGUCCCUGCCCUUUGUACACACCGCCCGUCGCUACUACCGAUUGAAUGGUUUAGC